UACAGGGGGUGCAAACGUUGCUCGGAAUCAUUGGGCGUAAAGCGCACGUAGGCGGUCUGUUAUGUCGGAUGUGAAAGCCCUUGGCUUAACUGAGGAAGUGCAUCCGAAACUGGCAGGCUAGAGUACUAAAGAGGGUCGCGGAAUUCCCGGUGUAGAGGUGAAAUUCGUAGAUAUCAGGAGGAACACCGGUGGCGAAGGCAGGUCGACUGGGCCGCAACGUGACGCUGAGGAGCGAAAGCAUGGGGAAGCGUA
rnacentral:rRNA from 1 species